rnacentral:rRNA from 1 species
AUGAGCUACUUGGAACGACAAGCACUGCACACUCGACACCUUCUAGUCAAAGCAAUACCAAUAUUGGAUCACCUAUUACAGGGAAAAGGAAGUUUGAAGAAGAGUUUGCCCAGCACAAGUCUCGUCAGAGGUCACGUGUACACAAAUCCGAGCUUGACGCAUACUUGGAAGAAGCAUCCGAGGAGGACGGUGCUGACUUUGAUGUCUUGGGUUGGUGGAAGAGGCAUGCCGAAAAGUUUCCUAUAUUGGCAUCUAUGGCCCAUGACUUACUUGUAA